GAUGAACGCUGGCGGCGUGCCUAAUACAUGCAAGUCGAGCGAACAGAUAAGGAGCUUGCUCCUUUGACGUUAGCGGCGGACGGGUGAGUAACACGUGGGUAACCUACCUAUAAGACUGGGAUAACUUCGGGAAACCGGAGCUAAUACCGGAUAAUAUUUCGAACCGCAUGGUUCGAUAGUGAAAGAUGGUUUUGCUAUCACUUAUAGAUGGACCCGCGCCGUAUUAGCUAGUUGGUAAGGUAACGGCUUACCAAGGCGACGAUACGUAGCCGACCUGAGAGGGUGAACGGCCACACUGGAACUGAGACACGGUCCAGACUCCUACGGGAGGCAGCAGUAGGGAAUCUUCCGCAAUGGGCGAAAGCCUGACGGAGCAACGCCGCGUGAGUGAUGAAGGUCUUCGGAUCGUAAAACUCUGUUAUUAGGGAAGAACAUACGUGUAAGUAACUGUGCACGUCUUGACGGUACCUAAUCAGAAAGCCACGGCUAACUACGUG
rnacentral:rRNA from 1 species